AAAUUGAAGAGUUUGAUCAUGGCUCAGAUUGAACGCUGGCGGCAGGCCUAACACAUGCAAGUCGAACGGUAGCACAGAGAGCUUGCUCUCGGGUGACGAGUGGCGGACGGGUGAGUAAUGUCUGGGAAACUGCCCGAUGGAGGGGGAUAACUACUGGAAACGGUAGCUAAUACCGCAUAAUGUCGCAAGACCAAAGUGGGGGACCUUCGGGCCUCACACCAUCGGAUGUGCCCAGAUGGGAUUAGCUUGUUGGUGGGGUAACGGCUCACCAAGGCGACGAUCCCUAGCUGGUCUGAGAGGAUGACCAGCCACACUGGAACUGAGACACGGUCCAGACUCCUACGGGAGGCAGCAGUGGGGAAUAUUGCACAAUGGGCGCAAGCCUGAUGCAGCCAUGCCGCGUGUAUGAAGAAGGCCUUCGGGUUGUAAAGUACUUUCAGCGGGGAGGAAGGCGUUGUGGUUAAUAACCGCAGCGAUUGACGUUACCCGCAGAAGAAGCACCGGCUAACUCCGUGCCAGCAGCCGCGGUAAUACGGAGGGUGCAAGCGUUAAUCGGAAUUACUGGGCGUAAAGCGCACGCAGGCGGUUUGUUAAGUCAGAUGUGAAAUCCCCGGGCUCAACCUGGGAACUGCAUUUGAAACUG
rnacentral:rRNA from 1 species